rnacentral:lncRNA from 1 species
GCACAUUUUCCCACCAAUCUUAAUGCAAUACAAGGUGGUUUUAAGGGAGGAAACACAACCUCCUGUGCACACAGCCUUCUGCUUCAAGUGGAAAUAUUUGCUACACACACGCACGCACACACACACACACACACACACGCACACACACUUCCCACGCAGCCUCUCUCUCUGCUCAUGCAUCAUAGCAUCAUUCUCCCACAGUGUAAAAAUUUGGGCUGCAGUCAGAUGUUAAAAACUGUGUGAAUCACUGCAGCAGCUUCAGGGGAGCCGGGGUGAAUGUUUUCGCAACGAUAAAGCGUCCCACUCUGUGUUUAUGAUUGAUUUUUGACGUUAUAAAUAACAAACAGACACACACACACACACACACACACGCCGUCCUCUUAUCUAUCCUCCUCUUCCUCUUUCUUGAAUUUAAAUGAGCUUCUAGGCACAGCAGCUUUUUUGGAAAAGGCAGCUCUAUAAAUAUUAUGCAAAGAUAUGAUAAUCACAACAUUUAAGGGUCAAAUCAGGAUAUUGUACAGCAGUGAACAUACAGUUUGUGAGUGCUUUGAUAUGGAAAUAUAUGAAAUAAAAUGCAGCUGUAUUGAUGUGAAUAAGAGUUAGCCUAAUUUAUACAUUAUAUUUUAUACAAAUAAAUAAAAUAAAAUAGUUUUAUUCUAUUUUAUUUAGUUGCCUUUUUUCAUUUAUUUAAGUUUAUUCCAUUGAUCUUUAUUUUCAUUUGAUUUCAUCUUUUAGCCUACCUUUUUCCUGUGGCUGGUGUGUGAUGAUUAGAUGUUCCUUCACAAACAGAGAUGCUGUCUGCUGCCUGUAAGCUCUCAGAAGCCCUAACACCAAAACAUGUCAGCACUUUUGUCAGAGACCAUUAGUUGUAAAUAAAAAUUGUAUUUCAAAUGUCCUACUUUAAAUAAAAGUGGGACAUUAAUGUAUCCAGGUUGCACAAAUGUGAUUAUGGAUUCAGAAAAUAAAUCCAAGUUAGGUUGGCUGCUCUGGCAGAUGUGUAGUUUCAUGCUCGGAUGUUUUGGUGCUGUCUUUCUAUCCUCCUCUUCCUCCUCCUCACCUGUGUCUUCCCUGCAGGAGUCUGAGGGCAAUGUGGAGGCUCAGAUCCACUCACUGAUUCAGAGAGCUGAGUGCUGGCUGUGGAACAUCAGCAGCAGCAGCCCCUUUCCUGUGAGAGAGACCAAACCAUUCAACAACGUCGAAAGUUGCUUACUUCAAGAGGAAAUAUGCGGAGGAGGAGGAUUUACACGGAGGCCUACAUGGAUAUUUUCAAAAACACCUGAUACUGCAGGAGGACCGCAGCUGCAUCCUGAAGCUGUCCCUGGAGAAGCUGAGGUUCCUGGAGGACCCCGAGGCCUACCUCCGGCGCUCCGUCCUCAUCAACAACCUGCUGAGGAAGAUCCACCAUGAGGAGGAGGAGCUGGAGGCCGAAGAGGAGGAGGAGGAGGAGGAGGAAGAAGAUGAGGUAGAAGAAGAGGAAGAAGAAGUAGGAGAAGAGGAGGUGGUGAUGGGAGAGAGGGGGCAGCGGAAGCUGUUGUACCCGGACAGGAAGAGGGUGAAGGUGCUGGUGAUGGACUGCUGCUCACCAGCGUUUGGCCUGGAGGAGCUGCAGCAUUACCGGCUGGUGCCCUGUUACCCAUCAGCCCUGUACAGCCUGGGUACCUGCCCGGGCCUCGCGCCCAACCACCAGGUCCUUCUCUACAACCUGGACGACAACGGCUGACUGUCCACACCUCGCUGCCUCUUUUCAAAGUUUUUAGAAAUGCAGGGUAGGUUCAUGAUACGGGCAUGUGGACAUGUACUGUUUGUUCAUAAUCGCCAGGAGGAAAGCUGCCGUUGUUUUCCCACGUACAACCUUUAAAAGGAAAAUGUGCCGUGGGGGUUUGCCAGGAUGUCACCUCCUCUCUUCACUUUGCUAAGAGGCAGCAGUGGAUUUGAGAAAAAAAACAACCCAGAUUCUCCUUCUGCUUCGGGAUCAACGUGGGUUGGUCUGUGAUGGUUGAUGUCAAACUCUGUCGCAGCGUCACUGCCAUUUUAUCGUACGUGCAAAUGUGAGAGACUCGAAGCCGGCUGUUGAUGUUGUGUAAUUGAUUCUUAUUGUUAUCGUUGCUCAUGUGAACCGUGAGCCUAUUCAGGGAUUUACAGACUGCAGGCUACUUCUUUUGAUGCACCUUGACUUGCGUGGAGAAUAUGAAUAUGCGCUGUUAUGCUUUAUGCUACUGUGUGAUUUAUGAAAUAUUCUCUGUGUAACAUUCCCUGGACUGUGUGAAUCGUCAUGCUAUCUCAUGGUACUCCGUUCUCUGAGAGAUGCAUUUACAUUUACAGUUGUUUUCUCUGUAUUUGAUGUCCUGUGUUUUGCAUUACUUGGCUGCCAUCUGCUGGUGAAAUAAUUCAACUUGAAGCCCUUUAUGUGUUCAAAUCUUACAAUGCAAGUGGAUGAAAAGAAAAGACGGUAACAUUUUACUUUAAGUCCCCUUGUUUAGCAUUUAUAAGCAAUAUAUGAAUGGUUUGUAACACAUUAUAAUUCAGUUGUAUGCAGAUAUGUGUUAUUAACCGAACUCCUCCUCUAGGCACCCAUAAAUGGAGGCUGCUGUAUUAAAAUGAUUGACAAUAUCGUAAAACGCAGAUAUAAUACUAUAAGAUGUCUUCAUAGGAGAAGUUACAAUUGUCAACAAAUACUAUACAUUAAGAAAUACUUAAAGUGCCCUUAUAUCUGCGUACAACUGUGUUUUAACCCGUUUAUUAAAGGUUUAUAAAGUGCUUGUAAUACUAAAUAGGAGGGGCUUAAAGUGAAGUGUUACAGAAAAGGGGAAUCAUGUUUCUUAUUUGUUUUCCCUUUUUAGGUGAUAGAAGUCAUGUUUUGAGGGAAACUGGCAUCUCUUCUCAUUCUCUUGAGCUCUAAGAAGUAAAAAAAACAACUUUUUUUGUCUGCUACCAAAUCAUUUGUACGUGAUCGAUUUUCAGCCCCAUGGUGUUUUGAAGCUGAAUUUCAGAGCGCAGAAUGUCUUUAGAUUGAUAUUAUAUUCCAUAUUUUUUACUAUCAGUCCUGGGGUCUGUUUCAGGAAGGAGGUUUACCAAACUCUGAGUCUAACCCUGAUCUCUGAGUUGAUUUACCCUGAGAUGGAAACUCUGAGUUUUCGGUUCCAGAACAGCUGAUUUGAGUUGGUUCAAUCAACUCCGAGUAGGUUCACUCAGAGUUAAGCGCGUGCACCACCACUAUAAAAAGGCAGCAUGAAUACUACGAUUCACCAUGGCAACAACCACAAACAAAUCGGUCGGCAUACUUUUCCCCUCUGGAACUGGAACUACUCAUGCUCACAUACAGCGAGUUUGAAUAUAUAUUUUUGUUAAAAAUAGCAACACGGCUGCUGCUGCAAAAUAGCGAGAAUCGAUGGGGGAAAAAAUUGCUGCUCGGGUCAAUGCGUAAGCUCUAAUAUAGUGUAUUCAUUUCAUAUUUAAUCACAGGUAACCUAUAAUAUUACUGGUGAAAACUGGAAUGGUAGUAGCCUAGGCUACACCUAUAAUUUCAUUUAGGUGCAAUCCUGCAGACUACUAAUCCCAUUCUGAGGCUGCAGCACCAUGUCAUUAACAGAAAUAUAAUUUAUAAUCAUUUCAUUCUUUUUAAUGGCUCUCACCGGUUUGUGUCCAGAACACUACAAAAACUUUUAAAAAACGUUUCAGAGUGAGUCCCACUCUUCUGACGGCUCUUUGCUACAGUGGCUUUACUAAAAUGCUCCGCCUCACCAAUGUUAUAAAGAAUACUGCCGUUUGCAGAAAAACGUAAUGCAACACAAAGAAUGUGCUGGGAUGUAGAGCAUGUUCACGAUGGGUGACGUUAGUGAUAUGAGGACGGAUAAGGUUAUGUAGGCUACAUAAAAGAUAGACUGGGAAGAAAAACGAUACCACUCAAAUAGGUAGGCUAGUAUCUGGAAAUGAAAAUGCAUCUAUAGUCAGGGCCUCAAUAUCAUCUCCAGACGUAUGUUUAACUCCCUGAGAAAACCAACCCUGUUUUUUUAUUCAUGCAGAUAACAAACUGGUCUAAAAUGCGCCUGAUACAGACUGAAUGAAUGAAUGAGGAAAUGAAAGAGUGCUGUGUCAGAGGGAGGAGACUGAGAGAAGAAAACCUGCUCCCGACCAGGUUAAGUUCACAGGCUCAGUUACCAUAGUAACUGACUCUGAGGUUAAGUUGCCAUAGUAACUGACUCUGAGGUUAAGUACCUCUCUUUCUGAAACAGCCUGGAGUUCCCCCUCUCUCAGGUUAGAUUAACCUCUCUUUCUGUUCCCCUCAUUUCAGGGUUAACUAACUCAGAGUUCUCACUAAACCUGUACUAUGAAUCCAGAUCAACAUGCCCUGGAUUUCUUUCAGUUACCCGGCUUCACCUAACCAAACAACCGCGGUCCUGCAUAAGCUGUGUCACGACGGUGGUUAACAACUAGUUCAAUCAACCCAGGGUUUCCCAAUCCAGCGACGCACGUUCACAUAGAGGUGGAGUUUGCACAGCAUGACCAAUCACAAACAUCUACCAGAGCCACAUAUUUUACAUAAGAAAAGCAAAUUAUAAUUCUACAUAAAUAUGAAGAACACAGACACGGUUUUACAGGCAAAACGCAAAACAGUCGCUGCUUCCUAACCCAGGAAGGAAAGCUGGCAAAAAAAGCCAACGCUGUAAAUGCGUAAAUUACAACGCUUAUCAAUAUCACUUCCCCAUCAGUCAGGCACAAGAUCUGACCAUAAUUACACUUGUGCUUUCCAUAAACUGUUGUUGCUUUAGCCUAUUAUUUCAGUUGCCACCUUGGCAGUGGAAGCGAUCGUGAGAACAAAUAAAAUAUAUAAAAACAUAAUUCAAACCGAUGUGUGCAUUGGCAACACACAACGUAAUUCCCUCCGCUGAAAAUCUAUAUCUUUCAUAAAAUACCCAUCAGGGAAUGUUAACGGGGUUGUCGGUCUCUAAAUGUUUUAACUUUUAAGAGUGCAUCUCUCUCUAACCGCCCACCGAACUCCACCGGAUCUUCUAAGAACGGUGACGCCGUUAUCAGCCGAGUGUUGAUUGGUCAGUAGGCGGUGCUUUAAAGCUCUGACACUCCAACCUGACGGCCGACUGUCGGCAGAAAAGCCAGUCGGACUGAUCAGCCUCCCCGAGUUGGUCCAAAAAGUACCUCGGAACACACUGAAGAGACGCUGACUUGAGUGUAUGUUCUGUGCGUGCGUGAGACGUAAUACGUCUCCAUAACAGCAGAUGGCGCUAAUCUGUAUUGUCGUCCAAAAAAUGAAAACCGGCAGCUGAGUGGAGGAACGCGUCACAUGGGUCUGGCUUCUCCUGAAUUUCAAAACAGACCAUAAUAUGAAAAUAGUUCAUCGAACCGUGUUUCUGAAAACAUUUGAAGAGAGAAAUAGGCCAUGCAGCUGCUGAAUCUUCAUUUCAGAUCAACAAAGGUCAGUUUGAAAGAUUUUCGUCAGAUUUUGAGAGGCGUCCGUCACACUCAUCCUGCUCAUCAUUUCCGGGUUAGCUCUCCACCAAUCAGAUUGGUCGUUGAGUCCGACUGCCCACUGGCCGAUUCAACAAGUCAAAUCGGCCCAAAUGAAGGCUGACGGCUCCUCAGACUGACGUCAGCACGGAACACACCGAACAGACUCGGGUCCCCGACCUCGCCAGACUGUCCUACGGCCGAUAAUUGGGUUGGGGUGUCAGUGCCUUACACCGGUUGAUCUCUAUUCUCCAACAUAACCAUAAAGGUUAGGUGUUCAGCGUCGUGAUACACAAAACCCUGGGUUGAACCUGAAGUUACCUCGGUAACGCCAAAUCUUGCUUCGUAGUGCAGGCCUCUGCUUUGUGAAAUGGGCCCCUGGUUGUAGCAGCAGGUGCAGUGUUGUCACAGAGACUGAGUUUUGCUAAGUCGUCAGAAGAUAUUUUAUAAUUUCAUGUGGCACAGUGCGUGCUUUAUAAAGCUGACUAAUCUGCUGUAUGACAACGCAGAUUAAUGAGUCAUCCUUCUCAUCCUCUUAUGUGUUUGGAGAGUUUCACUGGGUUUGAAAAUGUGCAUCUUGAUAACAAUCACUACAAUGGAAAACAACAACAACAACAAACUGCAGGCAACUACUAAAGAGAAGCUUGAUAUUUUAAAACAAUAAUUUAUAUUUUGAUGAAAAUGUAUAGUCCAUAUUUAAGAUAAACUAUUUUGAAAAAGGGCAAGUAGACUUUUUUCAGGUGAUUGAUUAUCAAAUAAAGUAUGUGAAGUGACAA